rnacentral:miRNA from 1 species
GUUCCUUCGAUAUCAAUGCAAUCUGGUAAAAAGAAAAUCAUGAUUACUAGAUUGCAUUGAUAUCGAAGGAACU